rnacentral:pre_miRNA from 1 species
UCUUAUGGAUGAGAAAAGAAAGUGGUUUCUUAACAUGGAAACUACUCCUGGUGAUGGGGCUGUGAA